rnacentral:rRNA from 1 species
GGUAUGAUUCAUGACUGGGGUGAAGUCGUAACAAGGUAACCGUAGGGGAACCUGCGGUUGGAUCACCUCCUUACC